GGGGCUGUGGCUCAAUGGAAGAACCUCUGUUUUGCAUGCAGGAGAACCCAGGUUCAAUUCCUGGCAUCUCCA
rnacentral:tRNA from 1 species